GGGGGGGGGGGGGGGGGGAGG
rnacentral:miRNA from 1 species